GAUCUUGGCUCAGAUUGAACGCUGGCGGCAGGCCUAACACAUGCAAGUCGAACGGUAACAGGAAGCAGCUUGCUGCUUUGCUGACGAGUGGCGGACGGGUGAGUAAUGUCUGGGAAACUGCCUGAUGGAGGGGGAUAACUACUGGAAACGGUAGCUAAUACCGCAUAACGUCGCAAGACCAAAGAGGGGGGACCUUCGGGCCGUCUUGCCAUCGGAUGUGCCCACGAUGGGAUUAGCUAGUAGGG
rnacentral:rRNA from 1 species